CCUACGGGCGGCUGCAGUAGGGAAUCUUCCACAAUGGGCGAAAGCCUGAUGGAGCAACGCCGCGUGGGUGAAGAAGGUCUUCGGAUCGUAAAACCCUGUUGUUGGAGAAGAAAGUGCGUGGGAGUAACUGUUCACGUUUCGACGGUAUCUGACCAGAAAGCAACGGCUAACUACGUGCCAGCAGCCGCGGUAAUACGUAGGGGGCAAGCGUUAUCCGGAUUUAUUGGGCGUAAAGGGAACGCAGGCGGUCUUUUAAGUCUGAUGUGAAAGCCUUCGGCUUAACCGGAGUAGUGCAUUGGAAACUGGGAGACUAGAGUGCUGUAGAGGAGAGUGGAACUCCAGGUGUAGCGGUGAAAUGCGUAGAGAUAUGGAAGAACACCAGUGGCGAAAGCGGCCCCCUGGUCUGUAACUGACGCUGAGGUGCGAAAGCGUGGGUAGCAAACAGGAUUAGAUACCCGGGUAGUC
rnacentral:rRNA from 1 species